GAUGAACGCUGGCGGCGUGCCUAAUACAUGCAAGUCGAGCGAACAGACGAGGAGCUUGCUCCUCUGAUGUUAGCGGCGGACGGGUGAGUAACACGUGGAUAACCUACCUAUAAGACUGGGAUAACUUCGGGAAACCGGAGCUAAUACCGGAUAACAUGUUGAACCGCAUGGUUCAACAGUGAAAGACGGUCUUGCUGUCACUUAUAGAUGGAUCCGCGCCGCAUUAGCUAGUUGGUAAGGUAACGGCUUACCAAGGCAACGAUGCGUAGCCGACCUGAGAGGGUGAUCAGCCACACUGGAACUGAGACACGGUCCAGACUCCUACGGGAGGCAGCAGUAGGGAAUCUUGCGCAAUGGGCGAAAGCCUGACGGAGCAACGCCGCGUGAGUGAAGAAGGUCUUCGGAUCGUAAAACUCUGUUAUUAGGGAAGAACAAAUGUGUAAGUAACUAUGCACGUCUUGACGGUACCUAAUCAGAAAGCCACGGCUAACUACGUG
rnacentral:rRNA from 1 species